rnacentral:rRNA from 1 species
CCUACGGGUGGCAGCAGUGGGGAAUAUUGCACAAUGGGCGAAAGCCUGAUGCAGCAACGCCGCGUGAGCGAUGAAGGCUUUCGGGUCGUAAAGCUCUGUCCUCAAGGAAGAUAAUGACGGUAUACGAGGUGGAUGCGCCGGCUAACUACGUGCCAGCCGCCGCGGUAAUACGUAGGGGGCUAGCGUUAUCCGGAAUUACUGGGCGUAAAGGGUGCGUAGGUGGUUUCUUAAGUCAGAGUUGAAAGGCCACGGCUCAACCGUAGUAAGCCUUUGAAACUGGGGAACUUGAGUGCAGGAGAGGAGAGUGGAAUUCCUUGUGUAGCGGUGAAAUGCGUAGAUAGUAGGAGGAACACCAGUUGCGAAGGCGGCUCUCUGGACUGUAACUGACACUGAGGCACGAAAGCGUGGGGAGCAAACAGGAUUAGAUACCCCUGUAGUC